UGACACGGGGAGCCGGGCCAGCCGGCUGAGAGGACGCAACCACGCGCGUCGACCCGCAAAACCUGAUCCGGACCAUGCCGGCGGAGGGAUUCG
rnacentral:ncRNA from 1 species